rnacentral:lncRNA from 1 species
UAGCUAUUACUUUAUGAUAACAAUUCCAAAGGUGGAAAGAGUUAGUAAAAGAAGAUUAAGAAAAGACAUUUAUCUUAGGAGACUUAACAGUAUGGUUCUAGUAAGCAGUCAAGAAAAGAUACCUAUCUUAGGAGACUUAACAAAAGAGGAUCUGAAACUUCAGGUCUGGGACGGAUACCCAACUUAGGUGCCAAAGGUAGCCCUCUCUGUAGUUUUUACCGCCUACAUAUGUAGCGGCUCUCUCCAACCUUCAUC